GUAAGGAAUAUUGGUCAAUGGACGAAAGUCUGAACCAGCCAUGCCGCGUGAAGGAUGAAGGCCCUCUGGGUUGUAAACUUCUUUUAUCUGGGACGAAAAAAGGGUAUUCUUACUCACUUGACGGUACCAGAGGAAUAAGCACCGGCUAACUCCGUGCCAGCAGCCGCGGUAAUACGGAGGGUGCAAGCGUUAUCCGGAUUCACUGGGUUUAAAGGGUGCGUAGGUGGGUAUUUAAGUCAGUGGUGAAAUCUCCGAGCUUAACUCGGAAACUGCCAUUGAUACUAUUUACCUUGAAUGCCCUGGAGGUAAGCGGAAUAUGUCAUGUAGCGGUGAAAUGCUUAGAUAUGACAUAGAACACCAAUUGCGAAGGCAGCUUACUACGGGGUGAUUGACACUGAGGCACGAAAGCGUGGGGAGCAAACAGGAUUAGAAACCCUAGUAGUCC
rnacentral:rRNA from 1 species